GUAGGUGGCAAGCGUUGUCCGGAAUUAUUGGGCGUAAAGCGCGCGCAGGUGGUUCUUAAGUCUGAUGUGAAAGCCCCCGGCUCAACCGGGGAGGGUCAUUGGAAACUGGGGAACUUGAGUGCAGGAGAGGAAAGUGGAAUUCCACGUGUAGCGGUGAAAUGCGUAGAUAUGUGGAGGAACACCAGUGGCGAAGGCGACUUUCUGGCCUGUAACUGACACUGAGGCGCGAAAGCGUGGGGAGCAAACAGGGAUUGGAUACCCUGGUAGUCCACGCCGUAAACGAUGAGUGCUAAGUGUUGGGGGGGUUUCCCGCCCCUCAGUGCUGCAGCUAACGCAUUAAGCACUCCGCCUGGGGAGUACGGUCGCAAGACUG
rnacentral:rRNA from 1 species